ACCUUGGCUCUAGACUGCUUACU
rnacentral:miRNA from 30 species